rnacentral:lncRNA from 1 species
CUUUGCGCUGGAGAAUCUACUAUGAACUUGUAUCAAAGUCGCGUUGAAAUAUGUAGAAAAAAGUGAAAAUGCACACAAGUUUCAACCAGUUCCUAGGGAGAUCCACCUAAGGAAGCACAUCAGCUCUAUGUUUCUCACUCAAGAUUACAAGAUUUAUUGCAUAGCCUCAUUACAAAACUCUCAACAAAAACUUCAUGACACUCAACAUUAGAACUCGCUCAAGAGAACUUCAACCGAACCUUUGUGCCAGAGAAACACCCAAAGAGUUGCUAAAAAUAUGUAAUAGACAAGAGAAUCCACAAAAUUGAGAUUAAGAAACCACAAAAAUCUUUGUUUUCUACUAAAGAGCGAAUGAAUAAG